rnacentral:piRNA from 1 species
UCAAAUAUGUGCCUAUUCUAUUCAUUCAC